rnacentral:rRNA from 1 species
GAUGAACGCUGGCGGCGUGCCUAAUACAUGCAAGUAGAACGCUGAAGCUUGGUGCUUGCACCGAGCGGAUGAGUUGCGAACGGGUGAGUAACGCGUAGGUAACCUGCCUCUUAGCGGGGGAUAACUAUUGGAAACGAUAGCUAAUACCGCAUAAAAGUCGAUAUCGCAUGAUAUUGAUUUGAAAGGUGCAAAUGCAUCACUAAGAGAUGGACCUGCGUUGUAUUAGCUAGUUGGUGAGGUAACGGCUCACCAAGGCGACGAUACAUAGCCGACCUGAGAGGGUGGUCGGCCACACUGGGACUGAGACACGGCCCAGACUCCUACGGGAGGCAGCAGUAGGGAAUCUUCGGCAAUGGGGGCAACCCUGACCGAGCAACGCCGCGUGAGUGAAGAAGGUUUUCGGAUCGUAAAGCUCUGUUGUAAGAGAAGAACGAGUGUGAGAGUGGAAAGUUCACACUGUGACGGUAACUUACCAGAAAGGGACGGCUAACUACGUG